rnacentral:rRNA from 1 species
UGGGUUAAGUCCCGCAACGAGCGCAACCCUUAUCCUUUGUUGCCAGCGGUCCGGCCGGGAACUCAAAGGAGACUGCCAGUGAUAAACUGGAGGAAGGUGGGGAUGACGUCAAGUCAUCAUGGCCCUUACGACCAGGGCUACACACGUGCUACAAUGGCGCAUACAAAGAGAAGCGACCUCGCGAGAGCAAGCGGACCUCAUAAAGUGCGUCGUAGUCCGGAUUGGAGUCUGCAACUCGACUCCAUGAAGUCGGAAUCGCUAGUAAUCGUGGAUCAGAAUGCCACGGUGAAUACGUUCCCGGGCCUUGUACACACCGCCCGUCACACCAUGGGAGUGGGUUGCAAAAGAAGUAGGUAGCUUAACCUUCGGGAGGGCGCUUACCACUUUGUGAUUCAUGACUGGGGUGAAGUCGUAACAAGGUAACCGUAGGGGAACCUGC